rnacentral:rRNA from 1 species
ACACGACUACAUUAGAUACCCCNGUAGUCCUAGCCGUAAACGAUACUCGCUAGGUGUCGGCCACGGUGCGACCGUUGUCGGUGCCGUAGGGAAGCCGUGAAGCGAGCCACCUGGGAAGUACGGCCGCAAGGCUGAAACUUAAGGAAUGGCGGGGGAGCACCACAACGGGUGGAGCUUGCGGUUUAAUUGGAUUCAACGCCGGAAAUCUUACCGGGACCGACAGCAACAUGAAGGCCAGGCUGAAGACUUUGCCGGAUUAGCUG